GGCCCGGUAGCGGAGGGUCCGCGCCUGCAUCCCAUAGUUCGGGCACUUUGCGGUCUCUGCAGGAGUGGCUCGUUCGACUCGAGCCCGGGCCA